rnacentral:lncRNA from 1 species
CACGCGGCUCCCGGGACUCACCGAUCCGCUGUCCCACGGGAGAACUGAACGGGUUUCCCAGGAGAAAGUCCAUUGCCGCGGCUACCACUGCCACCAGCUCCCAGAAUCAGGCGGUGUCCAAUGAGGCUGAGGGACUCUCCCAGCAACUGGAGAUGAGCGGCGACAUCAAUGGGCUCGGUUUCAGGAGCUUUGGCUGAUUUGAGAUCAAUCAUAUUAGUUUUUCAUAGAGUAGACCUCUAAUGGAGAUGAGAAUGGAGAUCCAGAGUCUGGCUAAAGGAAUCUGAUGGCUUUUCUUAUCUA